rnacentral:rRNA from 1 species
CAGUAGCCGCGGUAAUACAGAGGGUGCGAGCGUUAAUCGGAUUUACUGGGCGUAAAGCGUGCGUAGGCGGCUUCUUAAGUCGGAUGUGAAAUCCCUGAGCUUAACUUAGGAAUUGCAUUCGAUACUGGGAAGCUAGAGUAUGGGAGAGGAUGGUAGAAUUCCAGGUGCAGCGGUGAAAUGCGUAGAGAUCUGGAGGAAUACCGAUGGCGAAGGCAGCCAUCUGGGCCAAUACUGACGCUCAUGCACGAAAGCGUGGGGAGCAAACAGGAUUAGAUACCCCCGUAGUCCCUGUCUCUUAUAC